UUGGCUUUCAUCAGGGACAACCUGUUGGUAGUAGGCUUGAUUGACCCUUUGGCUCUCGUUGGAGUGUAUAAUUCAAGAAUGGAUGGAAGGUCUUCCACUGCUUGUUUUCUGGUGAUGCUUGUCUUGUUCAGAAGCACUACACCUGCAGAGAAUUGUUUCAUUCAACGCUAUCUGACAGUGUUCUGCACCAAGGAUGAAUGCAAGCUUGAAUGCCUGUUUCAUUGGAAUGACAAGUGGAUCCACGAACAUUGGUGUGAUGGGAAGAUCUUUGGCAAGUGCAACUGCAAUAUUUGUCCCAGUGGAUAGAGAUCAAUGGAUAUGCUAAGCGCACUUCAUGAUGUCAUUAAAUAAUUGAUCAUUUUGUGUCCUUGGAUCACUUAUUUUAUGCAUGUGAUUAUAUCCUUG